AUCGCUUCUCAGCCUUUUGGCUAAGAUCACAUGCUGAGCCUGUUC
rnacentral:snRNA from 1 species